GACGAACGCNGGCGGCGUGCUUAACACAUGCAAGUCGAACGAAGAGCGAUGGAAGCUUGCUUCUAUCAAUCUUAGUGGCGAACGGGUGAGUAACGCGUAAUCAACCUGCCCUUCAGAGGGGGACAACAGUUGGAAACGACUGCUAAUACCGCAUACGAUCUAAUCUCGGCAUCGAGGAUAGAUGAAAGGUGGCCUCUACAUGUAAGCUAUCACUGAAGGAGGGGAUUGCGUCUGAUUAGCUAGUUGGAGGGGUAACGGCCCACCAAGGCGAUGAUCAGUAGCCGGUCUGAGAGGAUGAACGGCCACAUUGGGACUGAGACACGGCCCAGACUCCUACGGGAGGCAGCAGUGGGGAAUCUUCCGCAAUGGACGAAAGUCUGACGGAGCAACGCCGCGUGAGUGAUGACGGCCUUCGGGUUGUAAAGCUCUGUUAAUCGGGACGAAAGGCCUUCUUGCGAAUAGUGAGAAGGAUGA
rnacentral:rRNA from 1 species